rnacentral:rRNA from 1 species
AAUGAACGCUGGCGGCAGGCCUAACACAUGCAAGUCGAACGGAUCCUUCGGGAUUAGUGGCGGACGGGUGAGUAACGCGUGGGAAUAUACCCAAAGGAACGGAAUAGCCUCGGGAAACUGGGAGUAAUACCGUAUGUGCUCGAAAGAGGAAAGAUUUAUCGCCUUUGGAUUGGCCCGCGUUGAACUAGUUAGUUGGUGGGGUAAUGGCCUACCAAGCCGACGAUCCAUAGCUGGUUUGAGAGGAUGAUCAGCCACACUGGGACUGAGACACGGCCCAGACUCCUACGGGAGGCAGCAGUGGGGAAUCUUAGACAAUGGGGGAAACCCUGAUCUAGCCAUGCCGCGUGAUCGAUGAAGGCCUUAGGGUUGUAAAGAUCUUUCAGGUGGGAAGAUAAUGACUGUACCACCAGAAGAAGCCCCGGCUAACUCCGUGCCAGCAGCCGCCGUAA